AGUGAACGCUGGCGGUAGGCCUAACACAUGCAAGUCGAACGGCAGCACAGUAAGAGCUUGCUCUUACGGGUGGCGAGUGGCGGACGGGUGAGGAAUACAUCGGAAUCUACUUUUUCGUGGGGGAUAACGUAGGGAAACUUACGCUAAUACCGCAUACGACCUACGGGUGAAAGCAGGGGAUCUUAAGACCUUGCGCGAUUGAAUGAGCCGAUGUCGGAUUAGCUAGUUGGCAGGGUAAAGGCCCACCAAGGCGACGAUCCGUAGCUGGUCUGAGAGGAUGAGCAGGCACACUGGGACUGAGACACGGCCCAGACUGCUACGGGAAGCAGGAGUGGGGAAUAUUGGACAAUGGGCGAAAGCAUGAUCCAGCAAUGCCGCGUGAGUGAUGAAGGCCUGAGGGUUGUAAAGCUCUUUUACCCGGGAUGAUAAUGACAGUACCGGGAGAAUAAGCUCCGGCUAACUCCGUG
rnacentral:rRNA from 1 species